CAACAAAAAAUUUGUGCCCAAUUUCGUAAUGUCGUACCGGUUGAAGACAAGUGAAAUGAUAGCACGAGAAGAUAAGAACGGUAUUGUGAUGCUUAAAUGGAAAGAUGUUCAAAAUGUUGGAAUACUAUCAACAAAACAUGCACCCAUUAUGAUUUCAAGCUCGAAUUCUACAUAUUGUGGACGUCCUCCGAAAAAGAAACCUUUGGCGUGACCAGAUGGUCAUACAUGCCACUACAAUACGGAAAAGACUCAAGUGGUAUCGGAAAUUAGCACUACAUUUACUCUUAGGAACAACUAUAGCAAAUGCUCAUAUUGUGUACCAAGCAGUCACGAACAAAAAAAUACCGAUAAGAAAAUUUCGGGAAAUUCUCGUUUCCGAAUGG
rnacentral:misc_RNA from 1 species